rnacentral:lncRNA from 1 species
UCAUCGGUGUCCGGGUUCCUGCUGAGCUUCCAGACGUGGACAAAGGAAUCCUCUGCACCCGAGAGCAGCUGCCAGGGGAGCAGGGGGACAGUGGGGACACCUCGGAGGUGGCAGUGCCACUGGCAGGGUGGGAUUUGAGGUUGGGAUGCCAGGUGGGAUGUGGAGUGAGAUGCCAGGCUGGGAUUUCAGGAUGGAAUUCCAAACUGGGAUUUCUGGCUGGAAUGCCAGUUGACAUGUUGGGAUUUCAGGAUAGAAUUCAAGGUGGGAUGCCAAGUUGGGAUGCCAGGUUGGGAUUUCAGGAUGGAAGGCCAGGUUGGAAUGCCAGGCUGAGAUGUCAGGUUGGAAUGCCAGGUGGAUGUUGGGGUGGGAUGCAGGUUGGGAUUUCAGCUUAGAAUGCCAGGUUAAGAUUUUAAGUUGGAAUGCCAGGUUGGGAUUUCAGGAUGGAAUUCAAGGUGGGAUGUCAGGUUUGGAUUUCAGGUUGGAAUACCAGGUGGAUGUUGGUGUGGGAUGCAGGCUGGGAUUUCAGGUUGGGAUUUCAGGCUGGAAUGCCAGGGUGAGAUGUCAGGUUGGAAUUUCAGGUGGAUGUUGGGGUGGGAUGCAGGUUGGGAUUUCAGGCUGGAAUUCAAGGUGGGAUGAAAGGUUGGGAUUUCAGGUUGGAAUGCCAGGUUGGGAUUUCAGGAUGGAAUUCAAGAUAGGAUGUCAGGUUCAGAUUUCAGGUUGGAAUACCAGGUGGAUGUCGGUGUGGGAUGCAGGCUGGGAUUUCAGGUUGGGAUUUCAGGCUGGUAUGCCAGGGUGAGAUGCCAGGUUGGAAUGCCAGGUGGAUGUCGGUGUGGGAUGCAGGCUGGGAUAUCGGGCAGGAUGCCAGCAUGGGAUGCUUUGGGUGCCCCCAGCCGUGCCCGUUCCCCCCGUACCUU